rnacentral:rRNA from 1 species
GACGAACGCUGGCGGCGUGCUUAACACAUGCAAGUCGAACGGAAAGGCCCUGCUUUUGUGGGGGGCUCGAGUGGCGAAAGGGUGAGUAACAAGUGAGUAACCUGCCCUUGACUUUGGGAUAACUUCAGGAAACUGGGGCUAAUACCGGAUAGGAGCUCCUGCUGCAUGGUGGGGGUUGGAAAGAUUCGGCGGUUGGGGAUGGACUCGCGGCUUAUCAGCCUGUUGGUGGGGUAGUGGCUUACCAAGGCUUUGACGGGUAGCCGGCCUGAGAGGGUGACCGGCCACAUUGGGACUGAGAUACGGCCCAGACUCCUACGGGAGGCAGCAGUGGGGAAUAUUGCACAAUGGGCGGAAGCCUGAUGCAGCAACGCCGCGUGCGGGAUGACGGCCUUCGGGUUGUAAACCGCUUUCGCCUGUGACGAAGCGUGAGUGACGGUAAUGGGUAAAGAAGCACCGGCUAACUACGUG